rnacentral:rRNA from 1 species
AUUCCAGCUCCAAUAGCGUAUAUUAAAGUUGUUGCAGUUAAAACGCUCGUAGUCGGAUUUCGGGGCGGGCCGACCGGUCUGCCGAUGGGUAUGCACUGGCCGGCGCGUCCUUCCACCCGGAGACCGCGCCUACUCUUAACUGAGCGGGCGCGGGAGACGGGUCUUUUACUUUGAAAAAAUCAGAGUGUUUCAAGCAGGCAGUCGCUCUUGCAUGGAUUAGCAUGGGAUAAUGAAAUAGGACUCUGGUGCUAUUUUGUUGGUUUCCGAGACUGGAGUAAUGAUUAAGAGGGACAGUCGGGGGCAUCCGUAUUUCAUUGUCAGAGGUGAAAUUCUUGGAUCUAUGAAAGACGAACUUCUGCGAAAGCAUUUGCCAAGGAUGUUUUCAUCA